rnacentral:rRNA from 1 species
UACGGGGGGGGGCAAGCGUUGUCCGGAUUUACUGGGCGUAAAGGGCGUGCAGGCGGCUUGUUAAGUGCAGGGUGAAAGCUCCCGGCUCAACUGGGAGAGGUUCUUGCAUACUGGCGAGCUCGAGGGAGGCAGAGGAAAGUGGAAUUCCCGGUGUAGUGGUGAUAUGCGUAGAUAUCGGGAGGAACACCUGUGGCGAAGGCGGCUUUCUGGGCCUUACCUGACGCUGAGACGCGAAAGCGUGGGGAGCGAACCGG